UAGGAGCUCCCCGUUGCCGUCGCCUAGCCGCCGGACAUCCGCACGCCUGUGUGGACCUGUGUCGCACCAUACUCAUCUCUGAAUGUCGCGUCUUCUUUGCGUUGUCUGUGGUCUGCCGUCAACGAAUCUAAUGCCACCAUUCUCUCUGCCUGAUCGCGACGCUUCUCUUCGUCCCCCUCUUGGACUUCAAAAGGUGUAUGCUGAUUUUGAAGUUUAUGGUGGUGCAAUGGGAUUGAGUUCUUGCUGUUUAUAUAUGGUGGGGCUCCAUACCAGACUCAGGAGAGUAAGCUUAGGAGAGGCGUUGAUAUUGUUGUUGGCACUCCAGGUCGCGUGAAGGAUCAUAUAGAGAGAAAAAAUAUUGACCUAAGCCAGCUAAAGUUCCGUGUCCUUGAUGAGGCUAAUGAGAUGCUUAGAAUGGAUUUUGUUGAAGAUGUGGAACUAAUUCUAAGUAUUUGGUUUGGUUUUUGCCUCUUUGGCCAAAUUUCAUUUUUUUAAAUCUAUAAUUUAUAAAUUAUUUGAGGCCACUGAUGUUCCAUGCCAGUGUUUAAUUUUUUACUCUAUAGCUUCUUUUUUUUUCAGUAUAACAAUGGUCCUUGAUUUUCACAGACAAGGUACAAGAUGUUAGCAAAAUUUAGACACUUCUUUUCAGUGCUACUUUGCCAGACUGGAUUAAGUAUGUAUGUAUUGUCAUCAUCCUAUAUUUCAGUGCUACUUUGCUAGCCAUUUCUUAGGUAAAAAACCUAACAAUGAUACAAAAAAGUGCAGCCAAAGAAUUUAAUACCAAACCAGCAGAAUGGAGAGCCACUUCAAGAGAAGGUAUUUGACAUAACAAUUGAUCCAAGAUGAAAGAGGGAACAUGAUCAUGCUAAUUUGUUAUAUUUUAUUUUUUUGUUGUUUAGUUUAGGUGUGAUUGUAAC